AGCCACGAAAAAUACGCUAGCGGAUGAGUAAAUACGUAUGUAAGCACAAACAAAUAUAAUUUAAUACACACCAACAACAAAUGCUUAAAUGAAAAUGUGUGUGCCUUACACGCCGCUCGUCGCUUGCUGCUAUUCAUUCGAUUCAAAUGUCGGCGUAUGCUGGAGAUAUAAAACAGUGCUGCUUUUUUCCUUUCGAUUUUCAUUGGCCAUGCAACAUCAUCGCUGUUCAUGCGGCGCUGGACCGAGCGUUGCUACUUGCGGGUAGCCAGAGGAUAUAUGUAUAGCAAACGGCAAACCAAAAUAAUAGUCAGUCAUACUCGUGGUAAAAAGAACUAUUUGAAGAUGUACUCAUACUCAGGUAUACACGAAUGCAUAUGUAUUGUACUUACACGUACAUACAACAACUUAUAUAAUAAUGGAUAUCGAUGCGCGUCAUGCCGGCACUUGCAAGGCUAUUAUGAUUUGUUUGUUUGUUUUAUUUUUCCUUUCUUUCUUUUAUUCGAAAUGCUUACGUGGAAUUUGUACUUGUAUCCGGGUGAAGGAAAACAAUAGGAUUCCAAUGUGUGGUGUAUUUAAUAGCGACAGCGAGACAAUGUGCCGGAUGCUCCUUUAUGCAGCACGAUUUCAUAUGCAAAUACGUCAAAUGGCGUUGGUCAACUCAAAUCAAAAGCAAAUGAAAGUCUCAUUUUUUUAUUAAUAAUUAACAAAAUCGUCCUUAGCUCAACUUCAAAAUAUUGAAAUACCUUGUAUUGAUUAAUUUGUCAUAUUUUAUUAGCUAUUUAUAUAUGGUUCUCAGGAAAUCAAAACUAAACUAAAAACGAUGUGAAAAGUUUGGAAACAAAUUUCCGAGCCAAAAUUUUUGUUGCCAAUGAAAGUUUGUAUGCGUAAACACAUAAAUGUAGAACUCAAAAAAUCUCGCUAAGAAAAGUAUUUCACCGACCAAAUAAAAGAAAUGGUUUCAAAAACAAACUUUGAACUCAAAGAUAUAAAAAAUUAGUUUGAAUGAAGUACGGUGGAACAUAUGCACGAAAAUAUAGAAAAAAUAUACAUUGAAACCGCGUAAAAAUAUCACGGGCAUAAGG